rnacentral:lncRNA from 1 species
AUUUUUUUAAUGAAAGAGCAACUUUAUUAAAUCAUUUUCAAUAAUAAAACUAAGACAUAAACAAAACAUCCAAAAUUUGAACCCCACCUGAACAAUAAAACUAACAUGGUAAAAAGACAAAAGCCGCACUACAUAGCACACAUCACUAUGAUUGAGCAUGAUAUCAAGUAGAGUCCACAAACCAAAACAACCAAAACAACCAAAACCCUAUAAAACUACCCAUAAGCCUAAAUGAAUACUACAACCACCACUUGAAGAAGCGCCGCUGUUAAACCCACUGCAUCUAGCUUUCAAGCAAUUGUAGAACAUGUGAUGGAUCUAAGGAAAACAAGUUUUCCAGCAAUGCCAAUAACAUCAAACAAAUAUGCUAAUCGAACAAACAUGACAAAAAAAAGAAAAGAGGGUAGAUUGCAACAAAUUCUUUCAAAUGCGAGGUAGAACUAGAAAAAUUAGAAGUUUUAGAGAUAGAAUUUUUGGGAGAAGGAUUUGAUUGAGGUAAAAAAGGUGAUGGGGAACUUCAAUAUGAGUAUGAUUCAAAAGAAAUAUGAGGUAACAUGAAUUUUGACAACCAAUCACAAGGUGACAUGUGGAUAUGAGAAUAUUCUUUAGGUCAAACAAUUGUGCUAAUUAAAUCUGAUCUAAUUAGUCAAUUAUCCUUGAUUUAUAAUAGGAAUAUCUCCCUAAACCCUAGCGAAGAAUGAGACUCUAUAUAAAGAUGGCAUCUUGUUAACUCGCAAUUGUACAGGCUAGAAGUUCGAGUGUUGUAUCCAAAAAGAGCGGUGUAAAGAAAAUAACAUAGCUGAAAAAGAACAAUUGAGAUAGAAAAGUAGAUUUAAACAAGAUUUGAUUUAAAGAAAAUUCAAUUGAUUAAAACACUAAGGCAUUGGGGUUCCACUUUUAACAAAAGCAUGCAACUCUUAAUAAUUUGAUCUAAAAAAUAUUUUCCAUUGUAGUUGUUCAAAAUAAUUAAAGCUCUUUUUAAUUUCCUUUAGAAUUAUUCUAAGCAUAACUUGUACCAUUGGCAACAAACUAUCAAAAAAUAAUAUUCGUCAAAAUUCUAUUAAUCUUAGUAAUUUUCUCCUAU